rnacentral:rRNA from 1 species
CGAGGGUGCGAGCGUUAAUCGGAAUUACUGGGCGUAAAGCGAGUGUAGGCGGCUAUUUAAGUCGGAUGUGAAAUCCCCGGGCUCAACCUGGGAAUUGCAUUCGAAACUGAAUAGCUAGAGUUUGGUAGAGGUAAGUGGAAUUCCGGGUGUAGCGGUGAAAUGCGUAGAUAUCCGGAGGAACAUCAGUGGCGAAGGCGGCUUACUGGACCAAAACUGACGCUGAGGCUCGAAAGCGUGGGGAGCAAACAGGAUUAGAUACCCGAGUAGUCC